AUUGAAAGAUGAAACUAAAAGACUUAGCUUUCUUCAAGAAAAAAAAAUGUAUAUGGCAAAUCUUUAAAAGCUCCUGCUAAAAACGAAAAGAGAGACAAUGUCAGGAACCAAAGGGAGCAUCUGGUUUGUUUACUUGCUGAUAAUCAUAUAAGGUUGACUCCCAGGCCAGAGUUUCUGAAUAAGCUCGACGAUAGAGCCGUUGAUGCCGUCAAGACAAAGUUCUUUAAGAACUACAAGAACUGGUGCAAAUUUUUAGGACGUAAACAUAGUUUAAGGUACCAGGCAACAUUUUAUUUUCACAAAUGGCUUGAAUGAGACACUUUUUGAAUGAUGUUUAUACUCUUAAUAAAAAUUCACUCAUUUAAUUUAUGCGAAGGCUUUCUCAAGGUGCUGAAGAUAUACAACAGCAGAAGAUACUGUAUAUGGGUUUUUAAAUCCUUUUUAGCUGAUAUGAUUAGUCAAACACAAGAAUUCAUCAAUAUUUACCUGCUUUUUAUGCUCAGAUGGCUUAUGAACUCCAUGGUCUCCUGGCUGGAAAUGUCAGCAUCGUUACUGGAAAAAAUAUCAAGCCUUCUUAC